UCUCUCUCUCGAAUUCUUUCUCCUACAUAUUCUUUUUAUUUUUUUAUUUAUUUUAUUUUAUCCCUAUAAUAAAUAAUAAAGUUAUGCCUUGUUUUAAGUAUUGUAACUCCCAAUCACCGCUACCCUUCCCGAUUGAUCUGAGUCCCAUAACGCAUGUCAAGGCUCUGCCCGACUAAGUUCGUUUGGAUUCUAUCUCGGGACUUCGGGACAAGGUUGAAUUAGGGGUACUAUACUUAACACGAGUGCAUUAUAUUUUUUUUAUAUAGCUCAAAAGUUAUACCCAAAAUUUAUACCAGAAGGUUUUCUAGUUGAACCCUAAAGUUACACAGUGGGUCCAUUCCUUUUUCCCACCAUUUUAUUCUCUUUUUGUGAGUUACCCAAAACUAUUAUUUAUUACUUAUUAUUUCUAUUUUAUAAACAAACUUUCAUCAAAAGUCAUGCCUAUUAUUUACCCAAUAGGGAACCAUAGUUGAGACACCCAAGUAAUCCUGCACAACCCCUAAAAUUUCCAGAACAAUCAGAAUCAGGAUCAGGGCCCCUAAAACUCAGAGGGGGAUAAACCCUAGCCAACGAUUAUCCUCAUAACUAAUUAUAAAAUUCGAAAAUUGAAAAACUGUCGACACAGCAAGCCUACAUGCACGAAGGGCUACUCUAUGAAAGUAGGGUGACCACUCGCGUAGCGCGACGCCUAUAGGGGUACCCCCUCGCGCUACGCGACGGUGUCAAAUUUCGGGUAUAAAUAGAGGGGGUUGGGACUUGAAUUCUGUCUUUGGAACGACGUAAAUCCGAGUUACGUAGAUCAAGUUAUCACAGAAACAGUCCAACACACACACACUAAUAUCGAAUUGUUGUCGCGGAACAGGGUAAUUACUCGAUCGCUAUUACGAUUCAGUUUCCGGGAUCAAUAUACCCAAAGAAUGUCUAAGUGCCGCCCACAUUGGGUUAUGCUUUGUCGUUUGUCGGUAAUCCGAUAAAUGAGUUGAAGCAUUGUACUUUGUCGUUGUCGAUAAUUCGAUAAUGAGUUGAAGUACUAUACUUUGUCGUUUGUCAUUUUGAUAAAUGAGUUGAAGUAUUGCACUUGAUCAUUCAUUGUGAGAAUUUGAUCUCGGGAAAUUAUCGUAACUGCUGUAUUGAGCAUUAACCCGGUUUUUGUGAAAUUCGUUAAGGUUGAUUUAGGUUUUUCACCAAUACGUAUUCCAUUAUGUUAAACCACCAGAAAUACUCCCAACUACACCCUUACAAUCAAAUAAACUAUUAAAUCAUCAGAAGAUCCAGAAUAAUAAAGUGCAUGCUUAAUUAUCGGAAGAAAUAGAAUCAAGAAGUUGUUAACUCAAUCCUGCAUGCUGAUUUGUAAUUACAGUAGAUUGGAGUAAGGAUUGGAUUCGGCACUAAAAGACUUCAAGAAGUGGCUUAUUUUAUUAAUUAAAUCAACUUAAGAAAUAUUGUUUUCAUUAAAAGCUACCUUUGUAAAACAUGGAAUUUAUUCCAUCUAUUUCAAUAAAAAAAAUCCGGUGU
rnacentral:lncRNA from 1 species